UACAGAGGGGGCAAGCGUUGUUCGGAAUUACUGGGCGUAAAGGGCGCGUAGGCGGCCUGUUAAGUCGAACGUGAAAUCCCCGGGCUCAACCCGGGAACUGCGUCCGAUACUGGCAGGCUUGAAUUCGGGAGAGGGAUGUGGAAUUCCAGGUGUAGCGGUGAAAUGCGUAGAUAUCUGGAGGAACACCGGUGGCGAAGGCGGCAUCCUGGACCGGCAUUGACGCUGAGGCACGAAAGCCAGGGGAGCAAACGGG
rnacentral:rRNA from 1 species